rnacentral:lncRNA from 1 species
AAAGGAAACAAUUCUGGCACUCCCAGAAUGCAUACUAUUCACACAAAGACAAGAAUCUGAAGUAUGAAAACAAUCCUGUAAGAAAGCCUGAAAGUUCCAACAACCGAAAGCCAAGGUUCGGUUCACAAGAAAAUACCAACCGAAAGCCAAGGUUCGGUUCACAAGAAGAUACCAACCGAAGGCAAAGGUUCGGUUCUGAAAAGGACUUCAACCGAAACCAAAGGUUCGGUUCCAAGAACAACUCCAACCGAACGCAGAGGUUCAGUUCUGAAGUCAAAGGAGAACAAGACUCUAAGGUCAGUCCCUCCAAUGAUCAAAAGCAAAAGAGUCACCUAGAGUCACCAGCCAGGAAGUCCUCUCCAUCCAAAACCUCUCAUUCUAACUCUUCUCGUUCUUCUAAUUCUUCUACUUCCACCAAUUCAUCUCCAUCUUGCUCUAAAGCUAAUCCCGCUUGUUCUCAAAAACCUCAUUCAUCAGCUGAACAGAAGGGAAAGCAGAAGGUCGAUGAAUCCAAACCAGAGUCCAAAACGAACACACCCAAUCCUAACAAAAUAAAAGUCUUUACCAUUAAAAAGAAAGAUGAAACAACUCUAAUAAAACGAACAUAUCUAGUUGACAUCUCUCUUACUAUUCCCGUUCCCAUGAAAAGCUCACAUGGACCCAAGAAACUUUGGGUUCCUAAAUCUGCUUAAUUUUUGCAGGUUAUAAGUGACGAGCAGUUUGACGAAGAAUGGUACAUCGAUAGUGGCUGCUCGCGUCACAUGACAGGGAGGAAAGAGGAGCUCAGGGAAUACAGAUCUCUUGCAAAUGGUGGCAACGUUAAGUUUGGAAAUAACUCUUUCGGCACCAUAAAGGGAUACGGGAUGAUAACGAAUGGUGACUUUACAAUAAGGAAGGUGGCUUAUGUGGAAGGACUCCAACACAACCUCAUCAGUGUAUCUCAGCUUGUUGGAGGUACAGGUCUCAAAGUCUCAUUCGAUGAUGAAGGUUCUGAAAUCAUAGAGAAAAAGACAAAGAAAGUGAUUCUAAAGUCAGAGCGAAAGGGUGAAAUGUUUCCUCUGAACAUGAAACCCAUCAAAGGAAACCCAGCCAUAUGUCUGUUAUCAAAAGCUCAAUCCGACGAAAGCUGGUUGUGGCACAGAAGACUCUCUCAUCUCAAUUUCAAAGAUAUCAACCGACUUGUCACUGGAGGUCAUGUUAGGGGUCUUCCAUUGCUCAAGUUCGACAGAGAGCAUUUGUGUGCUGCAUGCGAAAUGGGAAAGCAGAGUCGUCAAAGUCACCCAUCUGUAAUCAACACAAAAGUUGUUGAACCACUCGAAUUGCUUCAUAUCGAUUUGUGUGGUCCUUCAUCUAUCGAAAGCAUCGGUGGUAGCAAGUAUAUUCUUGUUAUCGUUGAUGACUUUUCACGAUUUACAUGGGUGUUCUUUCUAAAGCUCAAAUCUGAAGCGACUCAAAAGCUGAAAGUGUUUAUCAAGCAAAUUGAAGUCCAGCUCAAGAAGGUCGUUCGCAACAUCAGGAGCGACAAUGGUCUCGAAUUCAAGAACAGGGAGUUUGAAGAGUUUCUUGCAGAAAAGGGAAUUAGUCACAAUUUCUCAGCUCCCUACACACCACAACAGAACGGAAUAGUCGAAAGACGAAACCGAUCUUUGUGUGAAGCUGCCCGAACUAUGCUAAGUUUCGCUUCCUUACCUCUUUAUUUUUGGGCUGACGCUAUUUCUGCUGCUUGUUUUACACAGAACAGGUCCUAUCUCAACAAGCGAUUCACGCUCACACCAUAUGAGAUAAUAAACAACAGAAAGCCCAAUGUGAAAUUUUUCCACGUGUUUGGCUCAAGGUGUUUCAUCUUUAACUCUAAAGAACACCGCAACAAGUUUGAUGUCAAAGCCGACGAGGGAAUCUUUCUGGGUUACUCACUCACAUCCAAGGCGUACAGGGUCCUAAACAAACGUUCAAGAAGGAUUGAAGAGACAUACUAUGUGACCUUCGACGAUAGCUAUGUCAAGAAGCUACAGGCCAUAGAUGACACUGCCAGGGAAAUCUUUCCUCAAACUGGCCAAGUCACAGUCUCGAUCGCCAAUUUAUACGAGAAUUUUCUGGAACUCUUUGACGAACCGGAAAAAGCUUCUCUCUCAGAAGCAGGUGCAGCUGACAACAAAGUUGAUCAUAUGAAGCAGAUUGUCGAAGAUGCUGCAAGAAGAAUGCAUGAAGGAGAAUCGCCCACUGAUGAAUCUCCAUCCAACAAUGCUUCAGUCGAGGGGGAGCCAAGUUCUCAUGUCGAGGGGGAGCCAAGCUCACAAGUCCAGGGGGAGCCAAGCUCUACAACUUCAACCGAAGGUCCUUCACCAACCGAAGGUGCCUCUCCAACCGAAGAUGCCCCUCCAAACGAAGGUGCUUCAAUGCCUGAAAGUCCAGCACCACAAGAAACCCCUGAACCUCAUGUUUCUCAAGACUCAUCAAUUGAGGGGGAGCAUGAUGAUAUGACGCUUGAUUACGAUAGCCAAUCUGAGCCAGAAGAGAUGAUCAACGCUGAACUAGAUCCAACCUUCGAUCCGAAUUACCCUCCUCUUACCAAAUGGACCAGAGAUCAUCCUAUCUCUCAAGUAGUUGGUGAUGUAUCUGAAAAGGUUCUGACCCGAUCUCAACUGAAGGCAAAACAGACAUCCUUAUUUUCAAAGGUUGAGUUUUGUAUGUUUAACUCAUUCGUAUCAAAAGUUGAACCGAAGACAGUGAACACUGCCCUCGAUCACUCUGAUUGGGUUCAAGCAAUGCAAGACGAACUGAACGAGUUUGAAAGGAACAAAGUCUGGCGCCUCAUUCCAACUCCUCCAGAUGCUUCGGUUGUUGGUCUUAAAUGGGUUUUUAGGAACAAAAUGGACAAGGAAGGUAAUGUCAUAAGGAACAAGGCUCGUCUGGUGGUCAAGGGAUACUGUCAGGAGGAAGGGAUAGAUUACGAAGAGACGUUCGCUCCAGUAGCUAGGCUAGAAUCGGUUAGAAUAUUUCUGGCCUAUGCUGCUCACAAAAACUUUGAGGUUUUCCAAAUGGACGUCAAGUGUGCAUUUCUCAAUGGAGAACUCGAAGAAACUGUGUAUGUGGAGCAACCUCCUGGGUUCGUGAACGAAAAGUAUCCAAAUCAUUGCUAUAUUCUGGAUAAAGCUGUGUACGGCCUCAAACAAGCUCCGAGAGCCUGGUAUGAAACGCUUACAAAAUUUUUAAAGAUGUCUAAAUUCAAACAAGGUUCGGUUGACCCAACCUUCUUUCGCAAAAAGGAAGGUAACCACCUUAUGAUAGUUCAAAUUUAUGUCGAUGACAUCAUCUUUGGCUCUACGAAUCCCAGCUUAACAGCUGAAUUCAGAAAGUUGAUGGAGACUAAGUUUGAAAUGAGCUCAAUGGGUCCUAUUAAUUUUUUCCUUGGUUUAAAUAUAAGACAGGGACCCGAAGGCAUCUUUAUCAAUCAGGAAGCUUACACGAAGACUCUCCUAGCGAAGUUUGGCAUGAUGGGAGACUCAAAAGUCAAAGUCCCAAUGGCAUUCGGCACCAAGCUUACCCCUUCACUAGAUAAACCGGCUGUCGACAUCACGCUCUAUCGUCAAAUGAUAGGCUCACUGAUGUAUCUAACUGCUAGCAGGCCUGAUAUCAUGUUUUCUGUGUGUUAUUGUGCUCGAUUUCAGGCUAACCCACGCGAACCUCACAUGCUGGCAGUGAAGAACAUCCUACGCUAUCUCAAGCGAACCACCUCCUUAGGUCUAUGGUAUCCAUCCAACUCAGGCUUCUUCGUUCAAGCCUAUUCUGAUGCUGACCUUGGAGGAUGUGGACUCGACCGCAAAAGCACAACUGGUGGCUGUCAAUUUCUUGAUGGGAAGUUGGUCAGCUGGCAAUCCAAGAAACAAACAUGUGUGUCGCUGUCUACUGCUGAAGCGGAAUACAUUGCCGCUGCAUCCUGCACAUCACAAGUGAUUUGGAUCCAGAGUCAACUUCGAGACUAUGGACUCAAUAUGAAGAAGAUCCCUCUAUAUUGUGACUCUGAAAGUGCAAUUAGGAUCUGUCAUAACCCGGUGCAACACUCUAAAACCAAACACAUAGCACUGAGGUAUCACUUCAUCAAAGAUCAUGUGGAAGAUGGAAAUGUCGAAGUUCACUUCGUAAGAACCACUGAUCAACUGGCUGACGUCUUUACCAAAGCUCUUCCAGAAGCAUCAUUCAAUAAAAUAUUGCAAGGGCUAGGAAUGAUGGAAUCAGAGUCAGUACCUCACACUACCUCUCAAUCUCAAACGUAAGAAGCGAAACCAACCGAACGUUCGGGUUCGGUUCAACCAUUUCACUCGCUCAUUACUUCAAAGGUAGUUUUUCUGUGUUGUAUAUUUCUUGUGCAAAAUUUGUUUUUCUUUAUGUAAAAAGUUUUUUUUUUUUGCAUAUCUAAACUCCUUGGUUUCUUAAAAUUUUCCAAAAACCGAAACCUCCAGAAGGUUCGGGUUCGGUUUUUCAAAAUUUUCCUGAACCGAAACCAACCGAACGCUCGGGUUCGGUUUUUCAACUUUUUCCAACCGAAACCAACCGAAUGUUCGGGUUCGGUUUUUCAUUUUUUUUCCAAAGUUUUUUUAAAAGUCUUAUUUUUUUCUUCUAACGUUUUUAUUAUUUUUUAUUUUUUGAUGAUAAGUUUCAAAAACUCCAAAAAUAUUUUAUUUAUUUUUUUGUGUGCUCAUUCGUUUAUGGGGAUAUAUUUGAUGACUUACUUAAGUGUCCCUAGAAGCAUGCUGCUGUAUGUGUCCCAAGCCUCAUAAGAUUUUGAAUAAUAGCCUUCAUGACCUGGUAUACACAAACCUUGUCUUCCCAAUAAGGCUAACUCAUUUAUUCUAAUCGUGAGCUACCUCACUCUCUUCUCACAUGAGUUCAGAGUCUCCUGCUUGGUCCUUUUGUUCGCAGCAGAGGUACUAUGUCUUCUUUCACCAUCCCCAUUACACUUCUCCAUAACAUUCGUUUCAUCACUGUAACCCUUGAGACUCUCAGAAACUACCACUGAGGUUUAUGGUUACACAACAUCUGUGUUUAUGAUCUUAGUUUCGUGCCACUACGAGCUGAGUGAAACCCAAAAUUCAACACCAACGAAUUGACGGUGACCAAUUAACUUGAUCAAGUUUUCACCAAUGAAUUGACGAAUGUACCUUCAUGAAAUCUCAAUUUUUUUUCUUUUUGCGUGGUUCCAAUGAAAUUGUUACACACCAUGACAUUUCUUCCCAAGGGAUCCAGUUUUAAAUUUUUAUCUGAGAUUUCAUAUUAAUCCAAGCCACUACAAAAUCAACUCAAACCUACUUGUUCAACAGACUACACUGGUCUCACAAGUACUUUGUUCACAUUCGUUCUUAUAUCAAGAAUUGAAUUGUUGAAUCAAAGCGAAACCACCCUUAAUUAGCCUUAUUAAAAGAAGCCUUUCAACAUUUAUUAAUAAAUGUUUGAUCGUAAUUCAACGGGAUUCCACACUAACACUUUGAGGUCUCUCUUGACCUUGAAGGAAGAGAUUCGUGCCCGGGAUCAUCAGUUUCGUGUCAUUAUUGACAUCACAGAUUAUCCUAAAAAGAGUUGCUUUAUUUCUUUAUUUUUUUUACACUCUUUGCACGAAAAUCCUAGAUUUUCAAAAAUUCCGUUACUAAUUAUUUUACAGGCUGGAUAAUUAAUGGAUGGUUAAUAAUGAAGUUGUGGUUACCAAUAAUCCACGUGGGCGUUUUAUUCAAAAGACAGCAGAUUAAAAAGGGGAAGAGACAAAAGAUGCUGACGCGGCGGAAGUUCAAAGGAUAGAAAUUCAAACGACGGUAAAAAGCGGGCGCGUGAAUUUGAAGAGGCCGCGCUUUUUCUGACACUAUUGGACGCGUGUGCAGUAUUGAAGCGUCAUCCAUCUGGCAUUAAUGGCGCGUGUGGAAAUGGAAACGGUUCCUCUCUCUGAACCGGCGCUUAUUGGGCGGCGUGAUCCUAGGAAUCUGACACUCUCUCUCCUACGUGAUCAUCGCACGUCCCAACUGUCACCAAUCAGUCACUCAAAAACCCUUCCGUAUUUCCAUAAGAGAUUUGAAACGAUCUUUCUCUCUCCUAUCACCUACUAUAAAAACCCAUCCAGACCACCUUUUACCUCUUUACUGCCCCAUAAUUUCCAAAGCAAAAAUACUUCCAAACUCUCUCCCGGUUAUCUUCUUCUCCAACCUGCAACAAUGGCUGAAUCCUCUUCCGUCCAUGCUACUUCUCAGAUUCUUCCAAUCCGUCCUCAGCAAUGCCUCGUGAUUGAUCUGAACCCACUGGCCUAUGAUCCCUACAUGUCGCCGGUCAUCGAGUGUCUCAAAUACUCCCAGCUUGCUCCGGCACUGUCACGGAUUGAAACGGUGCCAAUGGUGGCCCUAUCUCAGGUCUACGCAACGGCUUAUUACGACAAGGCCGUUGACAGAGUCUUUUUUGAAGUGGCGGAACACAAGACGUCGAUUUCUCGUUCCCGCUUCUGCUCUAUGCUUGGGUUUGCUGCUGACCCAUCGCGUGUUCACCCGGAGACAAUUCCGGUUGGUAUGCUCUACAGCAUGUUCUACAACAUGGGCUACACGGAAGUUCUCACCUCCGUCGCCAGAUUCAAGAAGUCAUGCCUACCGCCCCAAUGGAAUGGGUUAUUUACAGUUCUCUUCAAGGGACUGUCAGAACGAAGCUCAGGAUCGGACGGGGCCAGUCGUCUUUUCCUGUCGAUUAUGUAUGCGGUGUACAACGGGAUCAAUCUGGACUACGGAUUUGUCCUUUGGCAACAACUGAUUCAGAGCCUCUCUUCCGCUUCCCGACACUCCGAGGUGUCACUAGCCCGGUUCUGGAUCUUGAUCACAAGAUGGGCUAUGGACAGGUUCGAUGUCCAAACUGCUGACGGUGCACCGAUGUCUUCGAUUGGUACGUUCCACACCACGAAGAUCAUCGUAUCCGCUGCAUCGAAAUUCUCCUUCAUUGGCUCUAUCCCGGAGUCGAUGUAUGGUAGUGUGCCAUCAGACAGCAGUAUGAUCAAGGCGAUCAAGGAGUUAGGGCCAUCUGGUCCGAGGGAACUGACACCGGACAUGUUGAGAUCGAUCCAUGAUGCCGACAAACCGGUGGCCAGGGGUAAGAAGGCAGACAAGGGGAAGAAACCAUCCAAAGCCCCAAAACCUACUCCCAAGAAGCGCAAACAACCGAAGGCUGCCUCGUCACCACAACCGAAAAGGAGGAAGACCCAACAAAAGCGAAAGCUAAUCCUUUCCUCCUCAUCAAGUGAAUCCGAAGUUGAGAGUUCGGACGCUGAGGGAUCACAAGGCGAUGUCUCUCCUCUACGAGGCAACACACCCCCUCGGUCCCCAACCCCGGAGAUGGAACUUCACCAAUCCCCAGUUCCUUCCCCUCCACCCACAAUACCUAUUUCCAUUCCCACCAUAACCCCUACUAUACCACCAACCUCAUUCCCUAUACCUCCACCCAUAUUCACCACCUCAACCGAAACACCACCUGUAACCGAAACCCCUCCCGUAACCGAACCUCCUCAAACCGAAACCCAUACACAACCACCACCUGAAACUAACCCCCCACCUACUCAACCUGAACCAACCAAACCCAUAACACCCCCAGCUUCACCACCACCUCAAUCUCCAGAAGACGCCUCCGAUGGCGAUGAUCAAUACCUAGGUGGUGAUCACCUGAACUUUGAUUCGGUCUACUAUAGUCCGUUUCAAGUUCAAAGUGAUGAGGAGGAUGAUGCUCCUGUAACCAAGAAGCAUCUCCGCGAGCUGAACGAGAAGGUUGAUCAACUUCUCGCCUCCUCUUCCAAUCAGCAGUCAUCCUUAUCUGAAGCUGCCCUUCAGAGGAUAGUUGAUGCCUUCUCUAGGGCUCAACAUGACUCAGUGGCCUCUGCUACUGCUGCAAUAGACGCCUCCACCCGCGCUUGUGAGGCAGCGACCGAAAAAGUCGAUAAACUAUUCUCCGACGCUACCAUCCUGUUGAAGUCCUUGCAGGAGAGCGCCGAUGCCACCAAGACAACUCUGGAACCGAUUGUUCAACAAUUGGCCACGUUCGUCUCAACGGAGCUGUCUUCGUUCGCUACACUCCGUCAACAUAUAAGCGACGACAACUCGGCACUUCGUGCCUCCAUCGAUGCCCGCCUGGCUAAGCUACAAGAGGAUCUUGCAGCUGAGAACUCUUUGAUGGACGUUCUGGCGAGUAAAACAACUNNNNNNNNNNNNNNNNNNNNNNNNNNNNNNNNNNNNNNNNNNNNNNNNNNNNNNNNNNNNNNNNNNNNNNNNNNNNNNNNNNNNNNNNNNNNNNNNNNNNNNNNNNNNNNNNNNNNNNNNNNNNNNNNNNNNNNNNNNNNNNNNNNNNNNNNNNNNNNNNNNNNNNNNNNNNNNNNNNNNNNNNNNNNNNNNNNNNNNNNNNNNNNNNNNNNNNNNNNNNNNNNNNNNNNNNNNNNNNNNNNNNNNNNNNNNNNNNNNNNNNNNNNNNNNNNNNNNNNNNNNNNNNNNNNNNNNNNNNNNNNNNNNNNNNNNNNNNNNNNNNNNNNNNNNNNNNNNNNNNNNNNNNNNNNNNNNNNNNNNNNNNNNNNNNNNNNNNNNNNNNNNNNNNNNNNNNNNNNNNNNNNNNNNNNNNNNNNNNNNNNNNNNNNNNNNNNNNNNNNNNNNNNNNNNNNNNNNNNNNNNNNNNNNNNNNNNNNNNNNNNNNNNNNNNNNNNNNNNNNNNNNNNNNNNNNNNNNNNNNNNNNNNNNNNNNNNNNNNNNNNNNNNNNNNNNNNNNNNNNNNNNNNNNNNNNNNNNNNNNNNNNNNNNNNNNNNNNNNNNNNNNNNNNNNNNNNNNNNNNNNNNNNNNNNNNNNNNNNNNNNNNNNNNNNNNNNNNNNNNNNNNNNNNNNNNNNNNNNNNNNNNNNNNNNNNNNNNNNNNNNNNNNNNNNNNNNNNNNNNNNNNNNNNNNNNNNNNNNNNNNNNNNNNNNNNNNNNNNNNNNNNNNNNNNNNNNNNNNNNNNNNNNNNNNNNNNNNNNNNNNNNNNNNNNNNNNNNNNNNNNNNNNNNNNNNNNNNNNNNNNNNNNNNNNUGCUACAUCAUGGAGGUUGCCCUAAUGGAUCAGGAGGUUGCCACAGUCUUCAAGAAGAAACCGAAGAUAGCUCCUGUGGGAUCGGCCAGUGAUCUCAACCAAAUGAAAAUGGGCAAGAUUGAUCCGAGGCGUAACUCGGUUAUGUUCACUAGAGCCGAAGGACAGAAAUGUCUCUUCGCUUUAGCUGACAAACACCUUUACACCACAGCUUGCUUGGAGCACGUUUUAUCGAUUAUCAAGCGGUGUAAAGAGAAUUCGGCUGAUGACAUCAAGUACUUCAAUGAUAUGAUCAAUUGGUACAUCCGGUUUAGACAGACCAUCCUCUCAAUAACCAAGUGUCUGUUUAGCACCGUGAAGAAGAAGGUACCAGCUUCAGCUACCGGCCCAAGUAAGAAGUGAAGGUCUCGCUCCAAAUUGACGCAAAGGGGGAGAUUGUUGGGCUGAAGAUCAUUUUGAUGUUGCGUCUUUUGGGCUCAAUAGUUUAGCCAUGUACACUCUGGUUUGGGCCUGUCCAACCGAGAGCCUUUUAUGUAUUGUAUAUAAGUCAAUGCUUGCAUGCAUAUUAGGGUAACGAUUUAGAGAAUAACGAUAGAGAGCUUAACAAUAGUAAUUUCAAGGUUUCUUUAAUCGUUCUUGUAACCUACCAAUCCUCUACAGUUGAUGUUCUUAAUCGAGCUCUUCUGAGGAUUUUGUUUUAAUCAUUCAACUCGUUUGAUUCAAUCUUGUCUUGUUCUUUUUAUUGAGUUUUUACUGUUUUAUAUUUAUAUACUUGUUCAAGAUCUAAUCGAUCUUCAUAGAUUAAAGAUUGUUUUAAUCCCAUCACAAUGCAUGAAUGUUAAGUCAGAGGUGGUUAUUUAGAUAACUAUGCCUAAAAGUGGUCUGGCCCUGAGGUAUUUUAACCCCAAACUCACCUAUGUGGAAAUAUAAUGUCAGACAUGCCUAAUAGUGUUCUAUUACUGACACACUCUAUUUAGCAGUCUACGAAGUUCCCUCAAAUACUUCAUGAAAGGAGACGUUGACACACAAAGCUCAUAAAAAGAAAAAAAAGAAGGGGAACACUAAUAUUGUGAUAUGUGCUUGGGGAUUAAUGUUACCGCUUUAUGGUGCCGGUUGGCUUGAACCCUGUAAUUACAACAAACAAGAAAGAGCGACAACCGUUGUUUGGGAGGUGGUCCCGCGACAAAGCUCCGACGGUCUAGUUAGUAUGUGUAUAAGGAUAUGGAGAUUAAGGUUAAUGAGAAUAGUGAGGCGGUCCCUUAUUAUGGAGAAGGGUUCCUUUUAUACAUGUUGACCUCUACACAUGAUCCUAAUAGUAUCCUUUGUCCCAUCUGAGUUUAAAGGACGUGGAGGAAUCCUAUUGGUUGAUCAAGACACUUGUUCGGUGAAGAUGCAUUGGACAUUCGGUGAUGUAACAAAGCCGUUAGCACAGGCAGUUUCAUUAUGGUGACGGUUCAAUAUUCGUUCUUCUCAUUUAAACCUCCUUUAUCAGGAACAAAUUUUCUUUUUACUCUUUCCAUUCUCAACUGCUUCUGACUUCUCUUUGCUUACUAUAUCUUCUUUCCUAUUUUUGCUCUAAGAAAUGAUGGCAACACCGCGAUCCGGAAUCAAACCAACCCCAGAAGAACUCUUCAGGGCUCUUUAGUCCUGGUUCGGUUUCAUGCAUGAACAUGGGAUGCAAUUUCCAAGGGAAGGGGCGGUUAUCUUUCAGCCACCGGAGGGUAAGGUCGGAGUCCUCAUUCUGAUCUUUGAGGCAGGUCGGAGACUACCAACAAGUGAUUUCUUUGAUGAAAUCAUGCAUCAAUACGACUUCUCCAUGGAAGACUUGACCCCCAAUGCUGUUAACAAGAUUGUGGGGUUCAAAUUGGCUUGUCGAACCCGUGGGGUGCUUCCUUAAUUCUGGGUAUUCAAAGCCUACUUCAAAUUUUCCACAUAAUUUGGUGUUCAUACCUUUUCUUAGAGGUUAGGCAUCAACACGUUCAUCAUCAAUCUAAAGGCGACGAAGAAAAAUUGGCAAGACAAGUGGCUUUGGUUAAAUCGCAAGAUGGUUAGUUUUGGCUACCCCUGAGUGACUCUCUUUUCUAACCGAGUGCCACAAUGGUGGGGUGCUAGUCUGACCGUAGCAUAGGCAUUGCAAAGGAUUUGAUUCAACAAAGAGGAUUUGGAGGAUUACAUCCUAGCUAUGGUAGGGAAGAGUGCCGGCUGGAGGGCCUAGGGGAUGAUGCUCCAGUUCUUCGUGGAGAAGGACUGAAAGUACUCUUCUCCUCCUCCUCCUCCGCCUCCCCCCCAAUUUUUUUGAUAUGAUAGGCUUACCCAUUUUGUAUGCCAUUUGUCUUCGUAGGUAUCGAAAGGGUUUUAUCAUUUGAGACGGUUCUGCAGGCAAGUUCAAGGGAAAUAUCAAGUACCGUGACGUACCUAUGGUGGAGAUUCUUCCUUCGCCCGUUAGUGCCAAUUGAGACCUGGUGCUUGCCACACCUUCUGCUGUUAGGGGCGAGGGGUUUGCUACCCAGGUCGACCCGAAUUUGGUGGAUGCACCCGUUGAGGGUGUUUCUCAUGAUGAUCCUCCGCCUUCAAACUCUGAAGACGAACCAGUGAAGGAGAUGAUAGUCCACGAUGGUCGAGAAACAACCAAACUACAAAUAGCUUGGAUGUACUCCCCUCUUGAUCGAGACGUUGGUGUGAGAACCAUUGCAAAAUGUCUUCACAAGAGACGUAACAUGGAUUUCCUGCUGGGGAAAUCAGACGUAUAGAUCAACAUCCCCGAUGAUGAUGCUUAUCACUAGUCGAAGGGGAUGAAAAAAGAGGCAACAUAACCACCUUAGGAACUAAAGAAAGAAAUGGAGGAUGCCACAAAUCUUGGUAGUGGCGAGCUCAAGAAGAAGCCGGAGGUUGACCUCCAAACUGAUCCUGGCUUUACUUCAUCCUCGGUAAGAGACACUGUUGUUGCGGGUGCUUCUCCUACACCAUUGGUGGCUCCCGACGUUUAUCUCCUAGAGUGAACUCUCACUCGUGAGUCCCUACUCUGGCAACAUUCUAUUGCAUAUGAGUAGAGUCACCACAUGUUCCCUCCGGCCACCAUAGAAGCAUUGGAAAUCUUUUCUAACUCCCAUAUGGCUAACAACCUUCAAUAUGCGGCGGUCCAGGUUUCCCCUUACUUGGUGGAUGUGGUUAGACGCCUACGCCACAUGAGCUCCAACUUGGUGGAAUUGACUAUCAUCAAGAUUGAGCGUGACGAUUUGAGGGAGAGGGUGACAUGCCUUAAGGAGGAGAAACAAAAGUUUGAGGAGAAAUACGACCUCUUGGCCCAGGAGAAAGCUUAUGUGGAGGCCCAAGUGUCAAGCUUGGACACAAAGGUGGAGCAUCGGUCUCGAUAGGUGGAGGUCUUGGCAGGGGAGAAGGAAGCUUUGUAGGUGAAAGUAAAGAAAUAUGGUGAGCAUUUGGUUGCUGAGGGGUUGACAAGGAAGGCCUUGGAGGAGGAUAUGGCUUCGCUUCUCCAAGAAGGCAUUGUUCACAUGGUGGUCGGGGUUAUUAAGAGCACUGAGUUCUUAUUGGGGGUCCAGUGAAUGAAGGGACCAUGCGUGGCUGCCGGUAUUGAGGGUGCUAAAUAGGUGGUUCAGGAUCAAGUAGCUACCACAAAGUUUGACCCUGGGGAGCCAAGUGCCGUCAUAUAGAAGACCCAAGCAAUGCAUGCCUCCGUGAAAUCUUCUAUAGAGACAGAAUUUGCUUCAUAUCUUUAUAUGGGUGAGCUCGAUUUGGAAGGCAUUUGUCAAUUAUGCAGCAAUCUUGACACCGAGUAGAGCCCACCUGAAGGUAGCUCAUUGAACGAUGAGCCCUCGUCUAAUCUUGUUGCUAAAUGAUCAUUCCUUCCUCUUGGCUGGUGUAUGUUUAAGAAACAAUAUUUGAACAAUUUUUGGUUUGUUUGUAUCCUAUGAGGUGCAUCUAUUCAUGUUUUUCCUCUUAGGGGAUUUCUUUCCAAAGGUUUGUGUUGGCUUGAUGAAUUGUCUGGGAAAGAGUCCUACUUGAUUUGUAGGGUGUUAAGACUCGAAAGAUUCUUUCCUUUGACAGGUGAAAGUUGUUUAGUUCAACAAAUUAAAUGUUUUACUAGGUUAUUUUGAACUGUGAUUUUUGGAUUUACACUUAACCUAAGUGUUUUGGUUUUGGCCUGGGAGUUGACGCUUGUAAGCUCGGGGUUCAUCCUUUUUUCAAGUCAAUGGCCUAUGUUUUUUUGGCUAAGGCCUUGGCUAUCCUUCUAUUACCAACCUUGGCUGGAACACGUUUAUUAGGGUAUUCACUUUGAGGAAAUGUUUUAUGGCUACCCUUUAAGACUUUUUUCUGAGUCUUCGGCCGAUGAGAGUGGCACUAUGGCCCUAGUCAUCUAAGUUAACCUGAGAUCGUCACCUUGAGGCGUUUGGGACAUAGGUAUCAUUUUUAUAUCAAGGGAAAGGUUAUGAGCCUUUAAAUCCUUUCUUCAUGUCAUGGGCAAAGAUAAUGGUCCUUUGAGUUAGAUUGACAUGUUUUAGGGAAAAGUUAUGAGCCUUUAAAGCCUAUUAGCUGCAUCCUUGCAUCGAUUUCGCUCAAGUGACAUUAGUUCUUGUUGUUAAUUGGUAAAUUAGAACAACCUCCUAUUGAAAUGAUAUCAAGCUUGAAUAAUAAUAAACAUCUUAAUUGUUUUCGAAAGUAGUCAACUUCCAUCAUUCUAUUAAUAAUGUUAUGGAAGUAUGAACAUUGUUUAGCGAGGACAAAAACAACUAAACUUUGACAAGAAAACGGGCCUAGAACUAGUGCUAACUAUUAGAGUGUGAUUAUCCAUUUCGAGUUAGAACACAUUGCUUUCGCCAUUGACAUGCCUUAUUCUUGAUUUUCUCCUUGUUUUUAGAGUCAAAGUGGUACAAAUUGUACAUAUUUUAGGUCUGAGGGAUGGGCCUCCCAUCUUGUGCUUUCGGGACAUAAGCUCCAUUUUGAUGCAUCUCUACUAUCUUUUAUGGGCCUUACUAGGUGACACUUAGCUUUCCCUAAGGUUGUACAUGACUGGAUUCGUUCUUCCUCAACACCCAUUCUCCUACUUUGAAGUUCUUCACUCACACUCGUCUAUUGUAGUAAUUCCCGGUAUGAGCUUUGUCGGCAGCUUGGUGGAGUUGGUUGGCUUCACGUUUCUCAUCAAGCAUGUCUAAGUAUUGAUGUCACCCAGUUUCAUUGACAUGUGCGUUGAAGUUCAUCACCCAUAGUGAUCCAACAAGAAUCUCAGGUCGGAGGACUACCUUUCUGCCGUAUGUUAGGCUAAAGGGUUUUUCCCUAGUACAAGAUCUUGAGGUCGUGCUAAACUAACAGAUUGGCAAAUUCUUCUACCCAAUCCCCAUUAGACCUCAUUAGGUGCUUCUUAAGGCCAUUAAAAAUAAUCUUAUUUGACACCUCAAUCUGGUCAUUGGCUUGGGGACAUGCCACCGAGGUGAACCGCUGAUGGAUAUCUUUUUCUUCACAUCAUUCAUUGAAGGGACUUCCUUCAUACUAGGUGCCAUUGUCACAUACUAGAAUCCUUGGGUUACCGAAAUGUGUGAGGAUGUUUUUCCACAUAAAUUUUAUCAUUUGUCUUCCCGUGAUGAUGGCCAGGGGCUCCACCUCAAUCCAUUUAGUUAAGUAAUAGAUAAUGAUGAACAAGAAGUUAGCUCCAACUGGGGUGUGUAGAAAUGGUCUAAAAAUCUCUAUGCCAUAUUGAUGAAAGGGCCAGGGACUACUGAGGCUGGUUAGUGGCUUGGCGGGUUGGUUUUGAAAGGAGUGAAAGCCUAGGAUUCUGGGCACUUUUUGGUGAGCUUGUCCGCAUCCUUGAUGAUGUCUGGCCAAUACCCCCCCCCCCCAACGAACUACCUUCCCAGUGAGUGCUCAUUUACCUUCACGAGCUUUGGCUUCCCCUACAUAAUUGUCUUCUAAAAAUGAAUGUCCCUCGGAAUGGGGGAUGCACUUGAGCCAUGUAGGUAUCCCCUCUUGUACAACUGUGUGUCCCUUAGCACCAACUCCGGGGCCUUGACCUUGAUCCUCCUAGCCUCUGCGGGGUCAUCUGGGAGAAUUCCAUACAGGAGAUGUUCUAUGAAGGGUUUGGUCUAAUUUGGAGUUGUUGUGAUACCGUUAACAUUCUUGUUGUCGAUGCUUCUCUCUAAAAUAGUCUACACCAAGACUUUAUUGGUUAACUCCAUUCUAGCUUGCUAAGAGCAUCGAAUCUCGCGUUUUCUCCCCAGAGGAUUUGUUUGAUUGAGAAGAUCUUGAAUGAUCGUGCUAACUCUUGCACUUUGUUUAGGUACCUUUGCAUUUUUUGGUCUUUGGCUUAGUAUGUCCCUUUGAUCUGAUUGGUAAUGAGAAGGAAAUCACUAAGGGCUACAAGGCAUUUCGCUCAGAUUUCUAGGGCUAGUCAGCGGCCUGCCAAAAGUGCUUCGUACCCGGCAUCAUUGUUAGAGACCUGGAAGUUGAAUCUUAAGGCAUACAAGAUUUCGUCAUCGUUGGGGGUUUUGAGGAUUAGAACUUCCUCAUAACUUUCCUUGCUUGUAGCUCCGUCUAUGUGUAAUUCCUAAAUUUCUGGAAUCGCCUCUGGUUCUAAGGGAUCUAUUGGAAAGAUCGUUAGCACGUCUUUGAGUGUGUCACAAAUCUAGGAUAGGAAUACCAAAUCUGGGGAUUUGAUGUUAGUGCAUGGGAAAAAGCUAAGUGACGAAGCGAUGUACUGACCAACUUUCCAGAUGAUAAUGAUGAAAUAGAUGAGAUGAGAUGAUGAUAAGAUAAGAGGCCUUGACUUUAUAAAUGAUCUAGUCAUCUACCGGAGUAUAGAUGACGACCACGAACUAUUGUAUACAGUCUAGUGGAAUGCUAGCAGGCUCGCAACCUGUAGGUGUUUUUGAACCACAUGUUCACUAAAUAUGUACUCCAUUUCUUCUAUGGUUACCUUAUUGACAUUCAUUACUAAGGAAUCCCCUAAUUAGUGUUUUCUACCCCGAUGCUUAUAAUGAUCCUUAGGGUAGGUCCCUUGAGAUUAGUAGUUAGGGUCAUAAUGUGAGGAUAACGGGAAUGGGUAAUCAGGUUGAAUUGUUUGAUGAAAAGAACAUAAUUAAAGAAUAUAAUUAGUGUGGAUGGAAACCCUAUAUGCUCACCAGACUUUCCCAAGUCUGAUCCAAUCAAUUUCCUUGUAUCACAGGUAGCGGUAGAAAAGCACAUGUUUGUUCAGAUUAUUCUGAUGAGAUGAUAAUGGAAUAUAGGGCAAUAGGUUAAUGUUCUAUGGUAAGGCCUGCAAACUUUUGUUUAUGCUUAUGUAUUUUAUUGAUGAUAGCAUCCCAAAGUUAUUAAUAUAAAUAAAAUAAUUUUCUUUGCAAAUUAUUUGAUAAGAUUAUUAUGAUGUUUUUUUGGAACAAAUUCCCCAUUAUAAUUCUUUAAAAUAAUACUCUUAUUUUUAAUAAGCAUAAAUAAAUCGGUCUUUUCUGGCCUUGAAAUUGGGAUGUCACACCAGGGAAUAGGAAUAUAAUUCUCAUUUGAAUUUUCAACCGAUAUUUAAUACCUUAAUUAAUACUUGUACUAAAAUCAUGUUCAUGAAAGUAAAUUUACACUCACCUAACUUAAGUGGAAGAUCCUCGGGAAAGCUAGCUCAUAUGCUACCUCUUCAACUUAUCCCUUCCGACAUCCUAGAUACAAAUAUUACUAUGAUUUAUGGAUCAUAUUUCUACUAUUUCCUGGAUUCCAGAAAAAUAUGAAUACAUAGAGAUUUAUCAAAUGAGGAAUAACCAGGUAAGAUCAUAUCGGAGGCGGGGUUCGUUUGGUAUACAUAGUAUACUGCUUGGAAAUUCCACUUUAAACACCUUACUAGAUCUAACCUAGACAUCACUCCCGUAAGUAAAUUGAUAAGUGUUAUGACAUGGAAUUACUAAUAAACCUUGCUAAUAGAUUCAUAAUAAUGAUAAUGAACUUAAACAUAAGUUACACUUAAAGCAUAACAAGUGUAGUUUAACUUAGAAAGUUUCUAGCGAAAACCAAGAAAUUAUGCGGGCAUAACUCUGACCCCAAAUCUUCUCUUCAUUAGGCUUACAUCUAUCUCAGAGCCUCGCUAAUAUGCUUAUAAGUCCAGAAAAGGCCAGGCUCAAAGAAGGAAAAAUGUUUGAGAGAGAAGGGAUUCGAUUUGUGUGGAAAAAUGAGAAAAUCUUCGUAGCUAUAUAUAUGAGCAUGGGGAGGCACGCCACGUCCUUAUGGCAAUGAUGUUCCUCAUGUAGAUUGCUACAUGUCAAAAUUUGGGUGGGCCAUUUCUCACCUUCUAGAAGCUAGGUGUGUCGUGUAGAUUUUUCAUUUUUUCUAAAAAUCAUAUCUUUCUCAUAGAAGCUCCAUUUUUGACGUUCUUAAUAUCCACGUGUAGCUAUCAUGAUUACUACAACUUUCAUUUAGACUUUGUUGGCUAAUUCUCAAUUUAUUUUUAAUUUUAUAUUUUUAAAGGCCUUAGACUGCUAAAACCUAUACGAAAAUCACAACUCUGUCAUAUGAAUUUUUUUCUAGACUGUCUUUAUAUCGACAAAAUCCAAUUCAUGAGAUCUUCAACUUCCGUUUAGAUUGUUUCGGCUAACAAUCAACCGAUAUGAAUUUCUAUUUUUGUGUCCAUACUACUACGCUGAAACUUUGAAAAUUUAUAAAUUCAUCAUACAAAGUCAGAUUUGGAUGUUCUCUAUAUGCACGCUCUCGAUUUUACGAUUAUUGAUAGUUUCAUUUUAUUUACUUCAUUUUAUAGUUUAUUUUAGCAUUUUCAUUCACAAUUUAACUAAUUUCGAUGCAUAUUUUACCUUAUGUUAUUUCGGGUACUUUCUAGUUUCGUGAACUUAAUUGCAGAUUUUAAGGAGACUAGCAGAGCGGGAUCUUUGGGUGGCAAAUGGAUUUGGAGGAUAAUGAAAGAUAAUGGUCUAUAAGAUUGAUGAGAUGAAGCAAAUCACGGGCUUGUUAAUUAUUUGAAGGCUUGGAGAAGAUGAGCUUUGAAUUUGCAAGAAAAUGGAAGAAUAUUUGUGCAUGCAUAGAUUAUUGAUCUGGCGAGUGCACGAGUUUUUGUUGGAUUACUAUAGCCAAAUUAGGGACUUAAAACAAGAAUUUUGACAUGUAGCAAUCUACACAUCCAAAAUUUGAAGGUUUCUCUAUAAAUUUUGUUGGAUUACUAUAGCCAAACUGGGCUUAAAAUGAAGAACUAUUUGAGGAAGGUUGGUGUGCAUCUUUUUCACACUUCUACACAUCCAAAAUUUGAAGGUUUCUCUAGAAAUUUUGGAGCAUUUGGAAGGCCAAGAACACAUCAAAAACAUCAUCUUUUUGCUCUUUAUGCUUGUUAGAUGUUUGGAAUAAUCUUCUCUUACUUUAUUUUCUUGAGUUUAGCCAUGCUAGGCUAAACUAAGCUUUGUUUACUUUGGUGAAAUCAUUUAUGAGAAUGUUUUAUGUUUUAACAUCUUCUUGCUACUUGUAUGCUUUUAAUCAUGAGUUUAAAUGUAUUUGUAGUGAUUCGUUGGCUAAUUUCUUGAUUAAGUAAUUGAUCUUCAAAUUAGGAAACAACAAGUGGUUCUUGUGCUAGUUUUCACUUCACACAAUCACAAAAACAUUUUGUCCCACAUGGCCGUGAAAGCAUUUGACUCCUCUUGCAUUUGGUAACUUUUUGGUUCUUAGUACUAUUUAAUUUUCACUAAUUACAUGCUUAAUGGAAAAUUUGACUUUAAUUAAGCUAAUAUGUUAUGAGAUUCUCAAGCUAUUUUAAUAAGAAAAGUCUAGGUAAUCUCAAGCUUCUUGGAAUACUAUAGCCAAAUUAGGGAUUUAAAACAAGAAUUGCACCUUGGGUUCUAAUGAUAUGUUCACCAAAUAUUCAUGUGAGGAAAUCUUACAUCCAACUCUUGUUUUUGUUGAAUUUUCUAUUUAAAUCUUAGUUUGACUCUAGUUUUAUUUCUACUGUUUCAAAAGAGCAAAACCCCCGUUUUUUACUUUUAUUGUCAUUUUAAAAGUACUUUUACAAAGAUAUUUUCAUAGAGUCAUAAAAUUGAACCAAUAUACAAAUCCUUUACCACUAUACACUAUUUUAGCGUACAAGAUUUUGGGUUAUUUAUUUUGUAGGCCUCGACAACCACCAAAUUUUGGCGCCGUUGCCGGAAAUUGGUUUAUUUUUUUAUCGAUAUGUUUCUCUAUGCCCAUAUAUCAACGUACAGGUACUUUGAUCUAUAAUCCGAAAAUUAAAAAAGAAGCAAGAUAUUUAUCAAAGGAAAGGAGAAUAGAGAAUGUUCAAACUUCAAAUUCUAAUGGAAACCCGAAAGUUGAAACCGCUUCCUCUAGUGACACCGAGCUCGAAGUAUAACCCGAUUCUAGCCAUGACCCUUUCUAAGAAAUUCUUGAAACACCACCCCAACAACAAAAUCCACGCAUAAUAAACCAAAUUCCAAUGGAGGAAUGGGAAAAAGCUCCCGGAAAGGCCUUGAGACAAACGAUGGAAACCAAUGUCACACAAACUCUAACCGGUAUCAAUUACCCCCUUUUGGAAGGAGGCUUGGAAUUAAAGCUUUAUUCAUCACCUACCAACAUUUUGUGGAUUGGAGAAUGAAAACCCACACAAACACUUGAAGAUGUUCCACAUCAUUUGCACUAGCAUGAAGCCAAAAGGUUCAACCGAUGACCAAAUCAAGAUAAGGGCAUUCCUUUUUUCAUUGGUCGAUAGAGCAAAAGAUUGGUUAUUCUAUCUUCCACCAGGGUCAAUCAACUCAUGUACCGACAUGGCAAGAGCUUUCCUUGAUAAGUUCUAUCCCGCUUCAAGAGUAUAAAGUCUUCGAAAUGAGAUUUGUGGAAUCCGCCAAGGUUAAAGUUAGAGUUUCAUGACUAUUGGGAGAGGUUCAAGAACUUGAGUUAUAGUUGCCCACAACACUAAAUUACGGAACAACUCCUAAUUCAACACUUAGAUGAGGGAUUAUUACCAACGGAGAGAAGACUUGUUGAUGCCUCAAGUGGUGGAUAUUUCUUUAGCAAAACUCCUCAACAAACAAGACAACUCUUCAACACCGUAGCCGUCAAUUCUCAACAUUUUGGCCCCCGCCAAGACAUGAAGAAGGACAUGAAGGGUUUUAAGCACUAUAACAUCCCUAUGGUGCACAUACAACCCCAAUGCUUUGGAUCUAAGUUUUCUCUAGUUAUACAUGCAAAUUUCAUUUUUCCAAAGCAUGAAGCCUAUCUAGCAUACAACUUGAUAUAUGAAUCAUUGUAAGUCCCCGAUCUGCUUGUGUAUCAAUUAGAUCCGUUUGAUGGUGCGGAAUCCCAAUCAAACGGAUGAUCUCAGAUAAAAAUAGAAGAAAAGGAGAAGAAGAAUAAUAUGAAUCUUGUGAUUUAUUCAAAGAUAUUGUGACAACCGUCAAAUUCUGGUCAAGUCAAAGUCAAAUAAAGCCAACAAGUCAAAUCGGUCAACUCAAUUAACCCUUGUGUACUAGGGCCUACGUUAGGUACUCUAAUGAGAAAUCAUCAAUUUAAAAGUUCGUAUAUCUAGAAUUCAUUAACCUAAAACUAUGGUAAGUAACGGACCAAACCGAUAAAACAAUGUUGCAUACUCAUCGGGAGUGUGUAAGAUCUUAAACAUAGCUUAACGGGGUUUACGAACCUUGCGUUGCAAAGCCAAACUCUCAAAAAGGUCACAAAUGGAGCCUCUCCCAAUCUCUUUCACUCUAUAUCUCUCUAUUUAGAAUCUCUCUCAAACUAUGGUAAGUAUGUGAAAUCUCUCCCAAAUCUCUCUAAGUAUGUGAAAUCUCUCCCAAAUCUCUCUAAGUAUGUGAAAUCUCUCUAAGUAUGAGAAAUCUCUCCAAGUAUGUGAAAUAUCUCCCAAAUCUCUCUCAAAGGUUGCUUUAACUUUUUAUAGUAUUUUGGGCCAUCCCGACCCUUAACCGGGUAAAAAACCGCUUAAAACGGGGUAAAAACGAGUAAAAUAGGCUUAAGGACCCGAAACCCAUCCUUUUGGGCCGAAGCCUCUUAGAGCCGAAAGUCCCCUAUAGGGACCGAACCCUGCUGACCCGAAGCCCCUGCAAACCAAGGAACCGAACCCGAACCUUCUCUCUCGGACCGAACCUCGCAUGCCAGACGAACUCUUCGCUCCAUUUCGCUUCUGAUCCCUUCAGUCCAUUUCGCUUCCUAGUCCACCUUCGCCUUCGAUUCCAGCCUCUAAGGACCGAACCUGGUCACUUUCGGUCCCUCAUGCUAGAGGCCUCGCAGAAAAGCCUUUUCUUCCCGGUUUUCGACUAGUUUUGCAUUUUAGGCCCGUUUUUAAUUAUUUUAACGUGGGAUUUUCACCCAAAACUUUAUUUUAACAUAUAAGGCCCCAUAUUUAUUAAUUAAUCACGUUUUUGGGGAUAAAUCUUAUCCAAGAAGAGUGGGUGAAGUACAAGAGGUGGAGUGUUGAUUUUUCUUUAGUUUAUGACACAAGCAACCACCCACACCCACUCCAUGACCAGCCACACUCCUUCCACCAUACCUAGGUCAUGUCAAUGUACUUUAUCAUAAUUUCCAGGCAUUUUCCACGUUCUUAGAGCUAGAACAUCCACCCUCUCUCCUCACACUUCAUUCAUUCUCUCAUUUUCCUCCAAGAAUCACACUCCAAACUCUCUCAUCUUUCUCUCUCAAUUUCGAGAACUUCAAGGUAUACUCCAAGUCUUAUCUCCUUCAUUUGGUAAGUAUCAUCAUCUUUCUUAUGAUUAUUACAUAUCCUCCUACUCAAAAUUAUAGAUUGCUUACACAAAUUCCAUCACAUUAGUGUUAGAUUCUCGAAUCUUCAAGCAAUCCUCCAAGUGUUCUUGAGUUGAAAACUUCUCUUCUUCAACAUUCACCCACUAAAAUCAUAUAAGGUGAGUUCAUACCCCUAUCGUUUCAUGUUUUAUUAAGUUUUAAGGGGCGCAUACAAGUUAAAGCACCAAGAACACAACUAAACUUUUCCAACAGCUUUCAUCAAGAAAGUUUAAGUCCAUUCACAGACUGUUUUGGUCAAAUUAAACAUUUUAGUUUUCAAAACUGUAUUAGAUGCAGAUAGUUCAGGUUUAUACCGUUAAAAUGACUACUUGCACAUCUCCAUAUGAUUUUUCUACGAUUUAUGGUGAUUUUUACAAAACAGUCUAUCAUUUCAAGAACAAAUCCGGACCAGUCUGUGAAUAUGGAAAUUUCAAACCAAGUUAAAGACUUCGAAAAAUCAUAAUAAAAAUUAUGGAUAAACUCGACACAUUUUAUGAACUCUCAGAAUUUACGGAUUCAGUUUUUGACUUCGUAUGAUUUUUCUAAAACAGUGCAGAAAGGUUAAAAACUAGUUAACAUCUUAUAACUUUCAUAACACUUUGUAUUAUGUUGAGCAAAGUGUAUAACAAUAAGUACUAAAUAUUGAAUGUGUUUUCUUGUUAGUUUAUCAUCAUAAACUGAAAUUUAGUCAUUCAUGAUAAGAUUCUUCAUUCAUUUAGAACACCUAUAAUAAGCUAUAAUAAGCAUAGUUUAUGGAUUCAUAGCACUAAUGUAUUUUCAUAAAAGAGUUCUUUUACAUUACAAACAUUUUGGAUAAACUAUAAUAGGUAUAGUUUAUGUAUCAUUUACAUUUCAAACUUAUUUACCAAAGGUUUUCAGUUCAGUUCACGUAAAUCUGUUACUGAAUAAAUUUGUGAGUCAUUCCCUUCAUGUUACCUUCAUGGUAACAAAGUCAAAAGUCCUGUAAAUUGUAACCAGAGUCUCUUGUAGGGAGAGCGUGAUAGUUGUGUAUAGAUCUAUAUUGGGUCUGACAUGCCCGCACCUGAGCUGCUUGCAACAGCUAGAUCGGCAGGGCUGAGGGGACAAGUGUCAUUUAACGUGCGACGCCUGAAGAACGUCGUAUUACGAGGCCGUCUGAGUCUUAGCAUGGUUAUAAUAGCUCACAUGUGGUAUUAACAAAUCAUAAGAUUUACGGGUUCUACUUUUAUAUUAGCGAGUUAUGUCGAUUUAACUCACAUGAAUUACUUUAAGUGUGGAAAAAAUACUUGUACACUUUUAUAUCAAAAGGGUUUUAUGCCGAUUUAAAAUUACUUUUAUAUCUUUAAGUAUGGAAAAUACUUGUUUACUUUCGGUCCCGGGAUUUAGGACUACCUAACUCUUAUAAGGAUAAUAUUGGAUUUUCUUUGGAAACAUAUUUCUGUUAAAACUACAUUCAUCUAGAAUUGCUAGGCUCCGACUAUAAUUGCUAAGUGUAUAUGUUAGAGUUAUAUAUGAAUCUAUUUAUAAUCGACUUAGAAUUGGUGGGCCCGCCUUUCUUCGUGUUCCUUGUUUGGUUGUGGACCUAGGGCAGACCCAUUAUAUUCGACGGUUUAUUUAAUUUAAAUUUUAUAUAACUUAUAUACACUGGGGGAUUAUAGAAGGAAUCUAUGAGUCUUUCUAGGGUUCAUUAUCGCAUAACAUAGAAGCAUUCAUUUCACACUUAACAAAGAAAAUACUAGGUUUUCUGGAAACAUACUUUGUCGCUUUUCCAAAGAAAACAGUUCUUUCUCAAACAAAACUCUUAUGAACUUACCAACUUAAUUGUUGACACUUUUUCAAAACUACUUGUAUUCUCAGGAAAUCAGUGAAAACUGGAAAACCAACCGCAUUUUGAGGAUGGGACGUUAGAUCGUCAAACAGUCCAUUUUGUCAUCAUAAUUUAAUUGAUUUGAAACAUGCAAACAUAUACUUUGGUGUAACUUUUUCAAUUAUAUUUAUGAUGGUUGUAUUUACUUUGUGCACUAUUAUACUCGUUGUUGUGAUACUAUACAUGAAGUCAUCCACCCCCGGACGUUUCCGCCAUCCUUGGUUUGGGGGUGUGACAGAUUGGUAUCAGAGCAUUGUUUAUAGUGAACUAAGUAUAUCGAACCACAUAAGAUAUACAAACUAUAAAUGCAUUGGGACUAAGGUGUCUGAUUUAACACUUUCAAAUAACUAUACUUUUAGAAAUAAAUAGUUUCUUGCUAAAAGUAUACAUGCAUGCAUACAUACUAAGGUCAACAUAAUUCUAGAACAAAACAAAAGUAAUGAUUUUUGAAUGGCACAAGUAGGCUUGGGGAUGUAUAGUUAGGUCUGGGAAUGACAUAGCCUGAUCAACUACGCCUGACCCAGAAGUGAUUAGCAUAUGCCCGGGAAUGGUUGUGGCGUUGCAACAAGUCUAAAAACUUACCAAUUCUCUCUACACGGAAACAUUAAAAACAUAAGACAAACAUUAGAAUACUAUAGGAGUAUUUUGUAGUACUAUAACCAACUUAUGUGAAAACUAAAGACCCCUAUUAGUAGGACUAUAACGACUAAGUGCAUACGCUAAGGUUAUACAUAAUUAAAGAUAUUAUAGACUCAGAAUCUAUGACUAUUGCUCUACUUCCUGUUCUUUGUUUGGUUGUGGACUUAGAGUAGAGUCAUUUAUUCGAAGGUCAAUUCUAUCUCAGAUUAUGUAUAACUGGUAUGCACUAUGUGAUUAUAGACGUGACUAAUAAGGAUCACCCCUUAUAAGUAAUUAAUUAUAGGAUUAGACACCUAUUAAUUACCUCUCCCACCCUUAUUCUCGCACGGACAACACGACAAAAUCUAACAUACCAGGAGGCCCCUACUUUCCGAACCGGAGAGUUAGUGAGUGAUGAGGUUAAGAGUUUGAGGUAGAGCCAGAGGUCGACAACUCUCCUCACAUAGCCUGGGCAGCAUUGAUCGAGGGAUGGAGUCGCCAUCAACAAAAACAAUUCGCCAUUUGAGGAUGUAUUAUCGUAAGCAGAGUUCAUUUUACUCACAAGACCUUGUAGAUUAGGUCUAUGAGUAUGCGUUGGUGUUACUCGCCUCCAUGUGUAGGCCCGACCCCAUGAGUUAGUGAUUACACUAGUCGAGGGAUGUAUUUGCGGUCAAAACUUUUCUUGCAAUGAUGUGGUAUGGACCUGCAUCAGGCUCAAAACCUUCCUCUUAAAACUAAAUAUGCUAAAAUUACACAAAUAAAGGGAGCAUGCGUAUUAUUUCUUUGGGAGAAAUACUACUAAAAUUCAUAAGUUCAUGAUAUAUAGACUCACGUUAUGAACUGUUUUCAGAACACCAUAAACAACCGGAACACGAUACACUGAGAACUAAGAUAAAUAACUCCCGACGUAUAAACCCUUAUUUAAGACUCACUAUCAUCUCACCCUUUUUAAGCCUCAUAGUUAAAAGGUGCCCUUUUCGUAGACCUAUGGGGGUGCGAUCAUACCAGCACUAAUGCAUCGGGCCCCAUCAAAAACUCCUCCACCCCCGGACAUUUCCACCAUCCUUGGUUUGGGGGUGUGAAAAAUAUGAAUGAUGCUCCAUUCAAAAGAUUCUCUCUCACACACUAUUCUUCUCUCUAACUUUCUCUCUCUACAAUAUGCUCUCCUUUCUCUCUCUCCUCUAUCCUUANCACUCACAUGACCCCUCCCCCUAUAUAUAUGAGACCCCAGCCGUACACGUGUGUACAGCCGCACACCCUGUGUACGACCGUACACAGGGUGUGCGACCGUACAUAGCCACAAAAUUACAUAUUACAUUAUAGAAAAAUAUAUUUUCCUAGAAAAGCAAAGUAUAAACCAUAUUUUUUACCCAACAAUCUCCCCCUUGGUUUAUAGCUUUCUUUUCUAAUUGGACCAACAAGCCCCCCUAAAAAGUAGCUGGCUUAUCUUGUCAAUCUUCAUUGGGAGCUUGGCUUCAGCCUUAAUCUUUGAUUUCUUCACAGCUUCAAGAUGAAGAUAUGAAUCUUCAAUAAAUGACUUCAUCCUGAGCGGUUGGGCAAUUCUUCAAGAUUUGACUCUAAACUCACAUUGGGCGACUUCAGCAGGUUUAAGAUAGUAGCAGACUGAUUGAGGAGACUUCAAUGCAAUCCGUCACAUAAUCUUCAAGUGCAGCUUCACCUUGCUUCUGGGGUUGAAGGAUUGAAUGUUUAAAGAAUGAUCUUCAUUUCUUGCUCCUUCGAAUGAAAAUUCAUCGAUGCUCACAGAUGAAGCUUCGACUCAGAAAUCUCGAUAUAGACUCCAUGAGUCUCAUCUACAUUUGAAUUCAUUUUUCCAGACAGAACAAAACUAAAAGAAAACUGUAGCACACAAUUGUAGGGCUGAAGUUUUAAUUGAUGUUGCGUCUUUUGGGCUCGUUAGAUUAGCCUUGUAUUCUCCGGUUUGGGCCUGUCCAACCGUGAGCCUUUUAUGUAUAGUAUUUAAGUUAAUGCUUGCAUGCAUAUUAGGUUAAGAUUAUAGAGAUUGUCGAAAUAGCGAUUGAUACAGCGUACAACANUUUUCUUUAAUCGUUCUUGUAAUCUUCUAAUCCUCUACAAUUGAUGUUCUUAAUCGAGCUCUUCUGAGGAUUUUAUUUAAUCAUUCGACACGUUUGAUUCAAGCUGUUUUGUUCAUAUUAUUGCGUUUUUGCUGUUUCAUAUUUAUAUACUUGUUCAGGAUCUAUUCGAUCUUCAUAGAUUAAAAGUUGUUUUAAUCCCAUCAAUUGGUAUCAGAGCAGGAGGCUGUGUAAUCGAUACACAUCUUUUCUGUGAAAAAGAUUUCCAUUAGGGUUUUCCGCAAUCAUCGAUAUUUAUUGAGCCGUCAUCUUAAUUGACGUAUCUUAAUAUUUAUUGUUUUGCCCUAAUCUGCUUUAUUACAAGUCUGAUCUUUGAACAGGUUUUUACGAUCAUAAUGGACGCGACGCAAUCAAACCCUAUUAAUAUUUCCAACAGCAUCGGUUCGACGACAAAGAUUCCAAUCUUAUACACCCAUGACUAUGAAGUAUGGGCGCAUCAUUUUGAAGAUUACGUGAUUGGAUCGGAGGACAAUGGUUAUCUCAUAUGGGAAGCCAUCAUCAAUGGACCGUUUUCUCAUUCUGCUACAUCCAGAAUCAUCAAGACACAAAAAGAGUACAACGAUCUGCUUAAGGACGUGAAGGAUAUUGCACAAGACGAGAAAGACAAAUUCCAGUGUAAUAUUAAGGCGUUAAGGUUGAUCAGAUUCGCCCUUCAGUCAGACACAUUCAGACUGGUCAGCUCAUGUACUACGGCGAAGGAAGUAUGGGAUAGACUUCGCGAACUGUAUUCCACAGACGAAGAUCUUGAACAUUCUAUCCAAACCUUGCUUCUAUCUGAGUUUGGAGAAUUCAGGCAAGGGGCCGAAGAAACGGUGACCCAGACGUUUGAUCGCUUCAAUCAUCUUCUCAGCAAGAUGAUCAAACACGACAUUGAAAGGAAGCUUAUCGAACAGAAGGUUACUUUCUUGAACGGACUGAGGUCUGAGUGGAGAGCAGUGGUUUCCACAGUCAAAGCCCAUGAGCAGUUUAAAUCAUACUCUUUGGCGAAACUGGUGGGUAUUCUAAAGUCCCAAGAGAAGAUUGUGGUACAAGAGAAGAACGUUGUUUCUAGUCUUGGUUCGUUGGCCCUCCUAUCUAAAAGUAAAGCUGUGAUGGAGGAUGAAGAGCUUAACUUGGAGGAAUAUGACCUCACGUCUGAGGAUUAUGCCAUGAUGGUGUCCAAUCCUAAGAGGUUCAUAAAGAAGAGAUUCCCCAGCAACAAAAACCGAAACUGGCAGGGGAGUUACAGCUCUGAAAAGGUGAACAAUGAACCGAAGGCUGAGGAGCCCAAGAAGGAACCGAAGGCAGAUGGCGAUUCCGGAGUAAGCUGUUUCUACUGUGGUGGCAAGAACCACUAUGCUAAGGACUGUGUUCUUAAGAAGAUGGCUGAAAAGGACGAUGGAAAUGAUGAGGAAGCCGUGCUGCAGAAGAGAUUGGAUGAGUUGAGAAAGAAGAAGUCUACCGCUAACCCUUCUAUUAAUGCUCUUAUUGUGCAGGGUUCGGUUAAUGACGAUGAGUUCGGUAGCACAGAAGUUUGGUCUACUGACUCAGAAGAUGAAGAAGUGAGGAAGCCUACCCAUGGAAAGGCGUAUGUGGCUAAGGAGGAAAGCAGUGGAGGAAAAUGCUUCAUGGUGACUGACGUAUCACAAAUGAGGGGAUACAACACCGAUGGAGGAAGCGAUGGACCGAAGGUACAGGAGGAUAUGUGCUUUACGGCCAAACCACUCAGCCAGCAGUUCAAUGAGCUCGAUGAACUGAUAAAGAAGGUACAAUCUGUUUUUAUUUCAUCUAAAGUACCAUCAUCCUCAUAUGAGAAAGAACUAAAAAAUGUUAAUACAAGAAUUUCUCAUUUAGAUAGUAGCUUAACUCAAACUCGAGUCACCAAUUCUAACCUGACUGAUCAAUUAAGCAGGGUGGCGUCGAAGAGUGAGGAGCGGCGAAUGUGGAUUGAGUUAAAAGAGUCGGAAUUAGUUAAAGUCAAAGACGAAAACAUUUAUUUGCAGAGAGACAAUUUAAAAUUGUUAAAACAACGAAAUGUUUUUUGUUUAAUUGCUAAACGUUUAUAUUCCAAUAUUACUCAACUUCACUUAGACUGUGAGAUAGGCCAAAAGAUCCAUCGCAUGAUUUUGCCCUUCCUAGAGUUUAAGGAGGAUGAAAUCGAUGCCGAAGCCUACAAUUGUGAGAGUGUGAUAUCGUCUGAUGAUGUCAACCCAACCUAUAUGUAUGGACUGGACAAAAUUGAGUCCUUCAUUAAAUCCAAAGACCACAAGGACAUGCUCAAAAAUCUUUUGGACGAAAAUGACAGACUUAAACUGAGAACCGAAACCAUACAAAAGUUUGACUCUCUAAACGCCAACGUAAGCUCAGAAAAUAAAAUCGAUGUUGAAAAUGCAUCUGAGCUUAACGAGGACGAAAACAUGAGUGAAAUUUCUGUAGAGGAUACGGUUGACUGCUCAGAAUUUGUUAAAAGCGAAACUGAAAACCACAAAAAUCUUAUUUCUGAAAAUUCUGUGGAAUUCGCUAGAUUGUCCCAACAAAAGUCCCCGAAAUUAGUAGAAAAAGCAGUGGUCUAUCAAAAGGUCAGGACAACUCCAAAUCAAGUAUACAAAGUGACUGGAGACCGAACAUCNGCUCACAAAUAUUGUAAACGAAGACAAUGCUGAUGGCUGUGAUGAGUACUUCUGGGAAGCUCCAAUAGAUAAUGGAAACGAAACUGUUGGCCUAUCUGAAAGAACCUCCUGGAUGAGAAAAGGGAGAUACAUACCUGAACCUUUGAAUAAGCCUGAUAAUUUCAGUGAACCAAGCACCAGUGGUACGAAAGAUAUUCCUCAAGAGGAUGAUCGUUCAGCAAAAGAAGACAUUCCCUCUACUCCAACAGCUCAAAGUGAAACUUCAUCAGAUAUUCCUCCCACUUCCUCAGUACAAACUGAAUCUUCUUCGGAUAUUCCCUCUGCUCCCUCGGCUCAAAAUAAAACGCCUGAAGUUCAAAAGGAACCAGCCAAGGUGACAACAAAAACGAAAGCGAACGUUCAUCAUCAACCUAAGCAGAUGAGGGAUAAGAAGAUAGAAAGGAACCUAAGAUACAGGAAAAAUCUUUCUGAGAGGAAACAAUUCUGGCACUCCCAGAAUGCAUACUAUUCACACAAAGACAAGAAUCUGAAGUAUGAAAACAAUCCUGUAAGAAAGCCUGAAAAUUCCAUCGACCGAAAGCCAAGGUUCGGUUCACAAGGAGAUACCAACC